GAAAGUAGUCCACUCAAUACAACAAUUGCAAGAGGUAAGCCUCUACAUUUUUCCACCAUAUCCUUAGCUAGACUUUCCAUUGCUGGAACCAUUGCUCGAACAUCAACUAGUUUCCUACAAAAGAGGUCCCAACUUUCUUCUUGGCAUAGGAAACGAAGUUUAUGAACAAAACCUCUGUCGUCUGCUCUUUCAGCGACAUCCUCUUUGCGCGUGGUAAUAAUGAAUCUGCUGCCAUUCUUGCUAUCUGGGAAUGCUCUUUUCAAACUCUCCCAUGCUUCUUUCUGCGAUACAUCAUCAACCACCACAAGGUAUUUGCGUUCUUUUAAUAGAUCACGAAGAUAAAUUUCUAGAUCUCCUUCUGUCAUCCUUUCCAACAAAUCUAGAGUUUCCUUGGUGCGACCUUGGAUGGAUUUUAUGAUAUUCCUAAGAAGAUCCAUUGUGUCGUACUCUUGAGAAACACAU